rnacentral:rRNA from 1 species
UACGUAGGGGGCAAGCGUUGUCCGGAUUUAUUGGGCGUAAAGAGCUCGUAGGCGGCUCGUCGCGUCGACUGUGAAAGCCUGGGGCUUAACCCUGGGCCUGCAGUCGAUACGGGCGGGCUAGAGUUCGGUAGGGGAGACUGGAAUUCCUGGUGUAGCGGUGAAAUGCGCAGAUAUCAGGAGGAACACCGGUGGCGAAGGCGGUUCUCUGGGCCUUACCUGACGCUGAGGAGCGAAAGCGUGGGGAGCGAACAGG